rnacentral:rRNA from 1 species
CAGUCGCCACGGUAAUACGUAGGUGGCAAGCGUUGUCCGGAAAUAUUGGGCGUAAAGCGCGCGCAGGUGGUUUAAUAAGUCUGAUGUGAAAGCCCACGGCUCAACCGUGGAGGGUCAUUGGAAACUGUUAAACUUGAGUGCAGGAGAGAAAAGUGGAAUUCCUAGUGUAGCGGUGAAAUGCGUAGAGAUUAGGAGGAACACCAGUGGCGAAGGCGGCUUUUUGGCCUGUAACUGACACUGAGGCGCGAAAGCGUGGGGAGCAAACAGGAUUAGAGACCCCUGUAGUCCCUGUCUCUUAUAC